UACGUAGGGGGCAAGCGUUGUCCGGAUUUAUUGGCGUAAAGAGCGUGUAGGCGGCUAGAUAGAUCCGUUGUGAAAACUCGAGGCUCAACCUCGAGACGCCGAUGGAAACCAUCCAGCUAGAGUCCGGAAGAGGAGAGUGGAAUUCCCGGUGUAGCGGUGAAAUGCGCAGAUAUCGGGAAGAACACCCGUGGCUAAGGCGGCUCUCUAGUACGGUACUGACGCUGAGACGCGAAAGCGUGGGGAGCGAACAGG
rnacentral:rRNA from 1 species